rnacentral:rRNA from 1 species
UACAGAGGGUGCAAGCGUUAAUCGGAAUUACUGGGCGUAAAGCGUGCGUAGACGGUUAUGUAAGUCAGAUGUGAAAGCCCCGGGCUUAACCUGGGAAUGGCAUUUGAGACUGCAUAGCUAGGGUGCGGAAGAGGGAAGCGGAAUUUCCGGUGUAGCGGUGAAAUGCGCAGAUAUCAGGAGGAACACCCGUGGCGAAAGCGGCUCUCUGGGACGGUACUGACGCUGAGACGCGAAAGCGUGGGGAGCAAACAGG